UCGGUUUAUAAAUGACUGGUUGUAUGCAUUAUAGCCUCCUAAUCCAUUACUACCUGCAUUGGUAGAUGCUCCAGAGUUGAACGGAAACCCAGCGGGUUGGCUGUUUGCAUUGUUGACCUUGUUAGCAUUGCUUUGAAAAGAGGUUGUCUGCUGAGUAGCAGCAUUGGUCAAUGGCGUUUGUUGAGGAGGUAAGCCAUAAGGAGAGGCCGCAUUGGCACUAAGGUUUUCAAAACUUCCAACAUUACCCAUAAACAUACCAGGAGCCGCACGUCCCAUCCCUGACAUGGAAGACAAACCACCCAAAGUACUUGACAUGCUGUUCGCCCCGGUUACGCCUCCAUUUCCAAUCACAGAGUCACGAUGUCCAGCCGCUUUCUCAGUCAUGCCGCUAGUAUUUGCAGUGGCAUUAUUAAUUGGGUUGCUAGUUUGUGUUCCACUCAUACCACUUACAUUGCCAGGCUGUUGUCUGUUGUACACGUUGCUGUGUCCACCAAAGAUGGGAGGGAAAUCAUUAAAGCCGCUCUGAGACAUGUAUCCUUGCUGGGGCUGUCCAAACUUGUUAUUAUUGUAAGGCAUCGUACCGUAUCCAUAAGACACAUAAGGAAUAGGAUACAUUGGAGGAAAUGCAUAAGGUUGGGGCUGUUGUUGAGAAACAACAGGGCUAGGAGUCGCUGUUCCAGCAGCAGGUAGAGAAGUAGCAUUAGAAGAUG